rnacentral:rRNA from 1 species
GAACGCAGUAGCAAUACUGAGUGGCAGACGGGUGAGUAACAUGUGGGAAUCUGCCUUGUGGUUCAGGACAACAUUGGGAAACCGAUGCUAAUACUGGAUAAGCCCUUACGGGGAAAGUUUUAAUGCCAUAAGAUGAGCCCGCAUUUGAUUAGUUAGUUGGUGAGGUAAUGGCUCACCAAGACAAUGAUCAAUAGCUGAUCUGAGAGGAUGAUCAGCCACACUGGGACUGAGACACGGCCCAGACUCCUACGGGAGGCAGCAGUGGGGAAUCUUGCACAAUGGAGGAAACUCUGAUGCGGCGAUGCCGCGUGAGUGAAGAAGGCCUUUGGGUUGUAAAGCUCUUUUGUAGGGGAAGAUAAUGACUGUACCCUAAGAAUAAGGUCCGGCUAACUUCGUGCCAGCAGCCGCGGUAAUACGAAGGGACCUAGCGUAGUUCGGAAUUACUGGGCGUAAAGCGCGCGUAGGCCGUUGAGUUAGUUAAUUGUGAAAUCCCAAAGCUUAACUUUGGAACUGCAAUUAAAACUGCUCGACUAGAGUUUGAUAGAGGAAAGCGGAAUACAUAGUGUAGAGGUGAAAUUCGUAGAUAUUAUGUAGAACACCAGUUGCGAAGGCGGCUUUCUGGACCAACACU